UAAAAAACGCUCUUAUAUUAUGGGACAGAGGGAGUAGUUACUAGGAACUUGUACAGAACGUCGAGAAUCCAAAACAAAGUGUAGCCGUAGUAGCUAGGAACUUAUACAAAAUGCCGAGAAAUAACUUUUUACUCUCUCAACACAGAAUCCAGUGUGGCAGCUAGGCAGCAGCGCAGAGCCCACAUAUUAUACUUCAACGUAGUAUAACACUAGUUCAACAAUUAUCAAACACCUGGUUGACAUCGAAUUUACACAACUGAACCAGGUUAGGAGCUUUUCAAGGGGUGAUAAUGUGAACAGCCUGUCCUAUGUAUUGUGGUAUACAGUGGCAUCAAAAGGUUACUAGCCAUAGCAUGAACACCUGCAGAAAAAACAUAGAAGUUCAAAGGCUAUUCUAUACCCUGUUAGUAGUAGCAAAAAUUCACAAACCAAACAGACACAAGAAAAAAAAGGCCUCACCGAGAAAAAAUAAGCUAACUUCUAGCCUGUAUCUAAUGGCCGAGGUCGUGGCAAUCCCAGGGUUGCUUGUCGCAGCGGCGGAUGGGGCGGCGGCGUGUGGGGGCUGCCACGAAGAAAAAGUAUUGAUGUUAGCAAAGAAAGAUAGGAUAAAUUAAGGUAUGCCAUUUAGGAAAAUAAAUGAAAGUUUGCUCUGCAUGGCUGCUCCAACAAAAUAAAUUUCUUCAUUUCUGGUACCUACUUUUUGUAUUGCAGGUAGAAUUUUCAGUAAUGUACGCAAUCAUCCAAGAAACAAAGCAGUACCUCAAGUCUCUGUAGUUCAAGUUCCACAAAUCACUAGUCCAUGUAUUUCUAGUGCAAGUGUGUUUCGACUGAGCCAUCAAAAAAUCUUUUUUUAACCUGAAAGUGGUGAGGGAAAUAAGGCAAAACGUUGUAUAUGAAUUAAAAAACAUAACUGGAUUACUACUGGCUAGUGACUGAGCAUAUGCCCAUGAAGAAUUAACUACUGAUCAAACAGCCACAUGCUCUGGUUUCACUCCUCUAAUAGCAAGUACGCAGUAGUCCAAGAUGAAAACAGACUGAAGAAUAAGACAUCAGUUCUAACUAACAAGAAGCAAUUCACCUCCUCCUUCUAUAGUUGUAUCCAUUAGCGGAUGUUUUAACUGCUCUGUCGAUGAUACUCUGGUUUAACUGCUCCAUAUUUCUUUUUUAACAACAUAUGAAAUGAACAGCUAAUCAAAAUUAGAAAGGGACUCUUUUUUUAUGCAGACCCAAUUGUUUAUUUAACAUAAUAUAAGACGAAGAACAGAGAAGCAUUCAUACCAACAUUACUAAAUUGCAAACAAUAUUGUAGAAACAAACAUCAGAGCUACCUAUCGACAGUCCAAGUACACACCUAAUGAAGAAAUCGAUUCCAAGCUCCAAGUGCUGUAGCAGCCUAUGGCAAAGCUAGCAAAUAACAACAGCUUAACCCAGCAAAAGGGCACAACACAGAGCAACUGUAGUAGUGUAGCGGAUUUAGAAUGUUCAGAUUUACAUGGUCUUCAUCUAGCAGCAGAUUUACACAGAGGAGUAGCAACAAUUCAGAGGUUCAAGUAAGAGACGAUGGGAAGGUCGACCAGACAAGCCAAAGAAGGUCACCUGUGAUGGAUGCUGAGGCAGGGGUUGCAGAGGCGAUAGCGAGAGUCCUCCGCCGAGGGGCGCGAGCAGCUGGAGGAAGAGGAAGCCGCCACUGGCUGCGUGGGAGAAGGCCCGAGGUGGUGUAGGCUCUUGGCGACGCCAGAGGUGAGGAGCGGCGCCGGCGGUGGGGUGCGUGGCUGCGGGACGGUCUGUUGGAGGGAGAAGGGAGGAGGUGUCAAGGUGAGGCGCGGUGAGCUGCUCCUAGUGCCGGCGCCCCUUGUUCUGCUCCUCCCGGUGGUGGUGCCUCUGCCCUGUGUUCCUCCGUCCCGGGGGAGCUCGGGCAAGACCGGAUCCGCGCGCAGAGGGGGACAUCCCGGUGGUGGUGGGCGGCGGCGUGGUGGCGCACGUCGCUGGGGCUUUUGGAUGCGGGAGAGGGAGGGGUGGCGGUUGAGGCGAUGACCUCGGCGUUCCUUGACACGGCGUCGGAGCUCGUCAAGGAUCCAGGGGAGGGGAUGGCGCGGGGAUGCGUGGAGCCAGGAAAGGGGGAGCUCGCGUCGCCAGGGCGGAGGACAUCGCCGGGAUCCGGUCAGAUUCGACCGGAAGUUCAGGGCGCGGCUCUCCGGGGGCCGGGGCUUUCGCCGGAUGCAGGAGGCGAUGCAGGUUGGGAGGGGCAGCGCCGGAGGGAUGCAGGCAGGGGUGAAGUUUGGGAGGGGCGGCGCCGGGCGCGGUGAAGGUUGGGACGGGCGGCGCCGGUGACGGUGAAGGUUGGGAGGGGCGACGCCGGCGGGGGUGGGUUGGUCGGGCUGCACCGCGCGUGGUAGUGGGGGAGAGGGCGGCAGGUGGGUGCGGGUAGUGGGGCG
rnacentral:lncRNA from 1 species